rnacentral:miRNA from 12 species
ACUUUACCAUGGAGGUGCUUUCU